GGGGAGUCUGAGACAAUACGGAAGCCCUUUAAAGAAACAGACAAAAUGCAAACAGGCUUUUAAAGGCAAACUGCGCUACCAUCUGCAUGCUGAGUAGCCUGGCUUUCAUCUGCCCAUCAGACAGACAGAUGAGUGAAGAUUCCAAAAGCUGCAGACAAGCUUCUGCUAGUGCCCAGUGGGCCACACUGCUCCUCACCUCCAGGUAGAGCAGGAAGGCCAGCAAAGUAGAGAGCCCCUCCCCAUAACCUAAGUGAAGGACUGGGGUUGGAGGCUGACCCUGUAGAUGUUACCUUCUGCAGCAGGAACCUGCUCACAUCCUCUUUUCACAGUAGUGAUGAGAAAAGCAAAGACUAUGUGAAUGAGCUGCCUGGAAAUUAAAAUUCACAGCUAAAGAACCACCAGCA